AAAAAAAAAAAACACAGAAAGAAAAGAAAAGAAAAAAAAACUCCUCUGGUCGGCUCUGCAACUGGGCAUGCUCAGUGUGGCAGGCGCUUCCGCGUGCGGGUUCCGCUCGCCGCGUUUUCCGAGCGGCCGCCGGGCGGACCUGGCGUGGGGCUGGAGACGGGGCCGCGGUCCGGCAAGGACGGGCUGGGCCGGGACGUCCGAGGGUCACAAGAACAUAACCAAUCAGCAAAGGCCGCAGUCCAGGAAGUGACUUGUUCAGUAUGCAGGAAGGCUGCAGAAGAAGGGAAAGCUCCAUGCAACCUCUCCAGACCCGUUGCCAGCCCAUGUAAUUACCUAUUGAUAUGGAGAUGGACUACUUCUCUCCACCCCUUGGAAAUACCUAUUGAUAUGGAGAUGUACUAAAUCCAGAUCUCUGUCCUACCCUGAUGGUCAUGUGCAGCUGUUUCAUCAUGCACGUGUGUGGGGUGAACUAACGUAAGUGGCAAGGACAGAGUUCCUGAGUUCCGGAGUCAGUGGGCACCACCAGAGCUACCAUCAACAGAGUGCUUAUCUAAAGACAUGUUGUAAUUGCCUGCAUCCCCCUUUGUCUUAU